UAAGUUGUACAUGAAUUAAUUGGCUUGGAGUAAUUAGAAAAUUUGGGACCAAAUGUGAUAUAGUUGAAGGUUAAAAAUCUUGCAAUAUUUGGCCCUUUGGCCGUGUGGUCCGUUAAAUGGUCCCACACCUUGUGUGGCCAAUUUUAUUUGGUCCAACACAUGUGUGGGCCCAAGGACACAUGGAGAAAAUUGUGUGGAACUUAAAAGAUGACUUUCAAGUCAUCUUCUUUCAUUUACACUUAGCAAAAAAAAUCAAGGAAAUUGGAGAGCAACAACAACACCACUCACGGCCAAGAACAAGGGAAAACCAAGUUCAAUUUGAGCCACCCCAAAAUUAUUUCCUUGGUACAAACCCACUAUUUGGAGGUCCCUAAGUAGCGUGGAAGCAUUGUUGGAGCGAUCAAGUCAUUCGUUUAAGAGAUCGCAAACCCUAACCCAUUGUGGAAUUGAAGAAGAAAGACCUUGGGGAGCCCGAGGCGUAGAUUGGGAUUAACUUUAGAUUGGCUAGCUUGGAGUGCGUACGAGGUACAGACGCACAGUUUGGUGAUCCACCAGUUUAGGACACCCUCUUUUGUUGUUCGGAGUGCUCUUCUCAUUCCA